CAAACCAGCAUAGUGGACAACUUGUAGCCUCUCUCCUACCACCACGUGUGUCCUGGAGAUAGAACUCAUGCUGGUGGGCUGGGCAGCAGGUGCCUUUACCCACUGAGCCACUGCGUCUCUGUGCCCAUUUCCAGGUGGAGAUUUAAUUCCCAAGGAGAAAAGCAGCAAUCUGGAGAGUUCAGCUCUGCGAAUGUACCCCACUGCUGCCCUCACCUCACCUGCCAGACCGGGCUGCGCCCAUUCCAGAAAGUCCCACAACUAGACUGACACAGGACUCAUCCUUCCUCAGACCAUCCUUCCUUUAGUGUCCCGGGGUAGCCACCUGCACAUUAUCUUCAAAGAAAGGCAUCUGAUAUGUGAAGCACCUCACUUGGAUGUGUCUGGAGUCUUGGCCACCUACGUCCUCCCACAAAUGGACUUGAUGAUUCAUUUGGAGGUUCCUGUUGGGUCACAGCCACUUGAAUACCCCAGACUGAACAAUGGGCCUCCUAACAGAGGGUCUGGAACCAACUAAGAGACAUGCCUCUGGGUGGAUCUGUGAGGCCAUUUCCAGGAAGGACUGCCAAGGGGAGAAGACCCUUUUCCAAAGUGGGUGGCACCAGAUGUAAAGAGGUCUGAGAAAAAAAAAAAAGCAGUGCUGGUAGCCUGCUUGUUCCCUGCUUGCUCGUGAGUGGAUUCAUCCCAUUGUGUUCCAUUAUUGUGGCCACCAUCCUUCCUCCACGCCAAAACACAGCUUCUUUCAGCAUUGGAUGAGGACCAGCAGUCUUUCGAUUUACUUUCUUUAGUUUUUUUUUUUUUAAAUAAUGUCUUAUGGUUUUGACUAUAUAAGCCAUGUGCUUCUUUUAUUUAUUUGCAAGUGUUAUCCUUUUUGA